AUUGAACGCUGGCGGCAUGCCUUACACAUGCAAGUCGAACGGCAGCACGGGAGCAAUCCUGGUGGCGAGUGGCGAACGGGUGAGUAAUAUAUCGGAACGUGCCCAGUCGUGGGGGAUAACGUAGCGAAAGCUACGCUAAUACCGCAUACUAUCUAUGGAUGAAAGCGGGGGAUCGCAAGACCUCGCGCGAUUGGAGCGGCCGAUAUCAGAUUAGGUAGUUGGUGAGGUAAAGGCUCACCAAGCCGACGAUCUGUAGCUGGUCUGAGAGGACGACCAGCCACACUGGGACUGAGACACGGCCCAGACUCCUACGGAGGCAGCAGUGGGGAAUUUUGGACAAUGGGCGCAAGCCUGAUCCAGCAAUGCCGCGUGCAGGAUGAAGGCCUCGGUGUAACGUGACUUUGUUACGGUAACGAAACCGGUAGGUAAGG
rnacentral:rRNA from 1 species